CCUACGGGAGGCUGCAGUGGGGAAUAUUGGACAAUGGGGGCAACCCUGAUCCAGCCAUGCCGCGUGUGUGAAGAAGGCCCUCGGGUUGUAAAGCACUUUCAGUGAGGAAGAACGCCUGGUGGUUAAUACCCAUCAGGAAAGACAUCACUCACAGAAGAAGCACCGGCUAACUCCGUGCCAGCAGCCGCGGUAAUACGGAGGGUGCGAGCGUUAAUCGGAAUUACUGGGCGUAAAGCGCGCGUAGGUGGCUUGAUAAGCCGGUUGUGAAAGCCCCGGGAUCAACCUGGGAACGGCAUCCGGAACUGUCAAGCUAGAGUGCAGGAGAGGAAGGUAGAAUUCCCGGUGUAGCGGUGAAAUGCGUAGAGAUCGGGAGGAAUACCAGUGGCGAAGGCGACCUUCUGGACUGACACUGACACUGAGGUGCGAAAGCGUGGGUAGCAAACAGGAUUAGAUACCCGGGUAGUC
rnacentral:rRNA from 1 species